CCUGGAGAGUGAAGCGUCACCCUCAGAUUUUGUUUGUGUUCUGGGUGACGCUGUUGGUUUUGAAUGGCGGCUGGGUGUCUGGCACCUGAUUUAUUUUCAUUUAGAGUAUUAGACGUUACCUUAUUUGCACUUUUUGAAUAGUUUUAGUUAUUUUGAAUGCUCAGAAAUGAUCCUGGAUUUGGAAUGAUCUGUUACAUGUUUUAAGGAUGCCAGACACCUGCCAGUCAUUCCAAUAGUCAUGUAAUCAUUAGGGGUCACGGGUUAAUUCACAUCCAUGAGAAGUAGAGAGUAAAUCCCCUUCACAUGGUUAGUACUUAUAGGGAAAAAUAGUGCUGACAGAUUUAUUUUCCACUGUUGAACUUUCCUUUUCCUUUCUUUUACUUUCUGCUUCUCAAACAGGCGCAUUAGAUUUGUCUCCAAUCCUCCAUGUUUCCGUCGUUUCUCAGGAAAACCUGAGCUCAAUCUUAACUAUUAAAAAAAAUUCUAUUUUUACAUAUUUUAAUUCCCAGCCAUUUAGAAAAAGAUUAACUGACAAAUCUCAAAUCUUAAUUUUAGUCAAGGAGAUUUUGUGUCAGUCAAGCUGGUCGUGGCUGAGUGAGCUGAACAGCGCACGCAUGAAUGUUUUCAACCUUUCAUUUCUGCUCGAUAUGCAAGUGAACUGAGCAAAACGCAGGACCCAAAGUAAAUCAUCUGAAAAAGUACUGCUUUAACACCGACGUUUCACUCAAACGGUGCAGAUAUUCUGUUUCAAAAUCAGCUGCAGUUGUAGCCAUAACUUCAAUUUCCUCUCGCUGCAACACAAUCAUGUGUUGGGUUUAUUUUGUUAUGUAAAAGCUCAAGUUAAUGAUCUGAACCUUCCACAAAUCCAAUAAGAUUCACAUACAACAAAAUCCCAAAAGAAUUCUAAAGCAGUGUUUCCCAACCUGCUUCCAUCCUAGUGGCGUGGCAUAAUCGACCACUUUGGUCCAGACUGAAAUGUCUCAACAACUAUUGGAUGGAUUACAAUGGAAGUUGGUACAGACGUCCGUGUUCCCCUCAGGAGGAAUUGUAAUAACUUUGGCGAUCCCUUUUCUUAUGUAGGGUCAAAGUUUCAUUGAAACGUUUAAUACCUGCAAAACUAAUGACAUACCCAAUUAGCCUCAGCUGUAGCAUGCUAGCAUUGUCAUUAUAGGAUUGAGCUCAAAGCAUCACAGACUUGUGGAUACGUUUAUGUCGUAAUAAUUCAAAUAAAAAAAUCUGAUCUAAACAUCUCACAACCAAUAGACAUGCAACCUGUGACGAGGGGUCGUAAGCAGACAUCGCCUUGUUUUAAAGUUGGCAAUCACUGCAAUAAAGUACUCCAAGUACUUUUGGCCAUAUAGUUUUGAAAGUUUAUCCACAAAAACUAAAAAUGUUCUCCGUUAAAUCCAAAAAGGAAAACCCUUUGUGUAUAAAUGGAUCCAUCUAACUGUGAAAAAUGCUGAUUAUUUCACACAAAAGUCCGAUCGGGAAUUUUAUUGUUUCAGUGGAAGGUUCGUUAUUAUUGAAGUAUGUGAAGUUUUGUGAAUUCUGGUUUUGUUAAAGGAAGUUGCACUGUAAAGUCCAGUGUUGAUAUUCAACCAUCUCCUCACAAACAAAUCAUGUUCAGUCUUGUUUUGGAUCAUUGUAGGUUUCACAGGUCUGAGCAUGUCGUAGCCUGAUGCUAACUGUCCACAUGGGUUACAAUCUACAUGGAGCAGCAUCUUGUUCUUUACUUAUGUUAUUCAUAGUGAAGUUGCAUUUUCUUCACUAAGCCUCAGGAUGGUGGUGUCAGUUUGUCCCCACAGAUGUUUUCAGAUCAUCAUAAAAUGUCCAGCUCUCAUUACUUCUUUCAGGAGGAUGAACCAUUCAGAUUUGAAAGACCCUGUAACUUUUCCUCUAGCACCACACUCAGGACAAAUUGUACAUUUUUAGCUCCACUAUAAGCUCUAAAUCAUCAGGGCAGUGUUUGCAAAUAUUGCAGCUGCAAGGGGACAUACAUUUGAAUUAAUAUGAUUAUUUUCCAAAACACUGACUGAAUGGAAACAGUUUUAGCUUUGACCCAGAGAUUAACCAGACAGGAAGUAGAGUGUCAGCACUGGACUGUCAGACUGUAGAACCUGUUUCUUUGUUUCUUUGUGUGAUGUUGGCAAUCUUGUUUCCUCUCUGCUGGCGUCGAGCUGGACUCAAACUGACAGAGGAGGGAACCAGUAGCAGCUCACGGUGCUCUAAAAUGCCAACCAAUCCACUUUCUCUUGAUCCUAAUCUGACCAAAUACCAGCCAGGGUUAACUGAUGUAGCUGUCUGUUUGUCUGUGACAGGUGUAGCUCAGCCUAGAGGUCUUCAUGGGUCCAAAAUCCUAAUCAAAUAAGUAUCUGUACAAAAACAUACCGAAACCCUACAUGCAUACAUUACAUUUCAAGGAAAAACAGACCGGAUCCAAAAGGAAUUACCAACAGUGGCAGCCGCAUGAUAAUAUAAAACGGGAAUAUAAUAGGGCUUGGUAUCCCUAGAAUACAACGAUACAACAGGACCCUAGGGCAAGUUGAGACAAGAUUCACGACGAGGCUAGUUGAAAUUUGCAACUACUUGCAACGCGCCGGUCUGCAACGUUCUGAAACCUGCCAGUUCACACCAAUGCAACGAGACAGUGUAUCAUCCCCAUAGCAACGAGUCUUUGUGGUUCCGUUCUAACUUCUUAAUUUUUAGGCCUUUUUGUAGCUGGAUUCAUCAUUUGUUGUGUCUUAAAUGAAUGUGAAUGCCAAUGUGGCCUGAUUAUUAGACUGACUAUAAUGUUAGAAGGAACCGUGUGGACCUGUGAAGACCUUUAUCUCAGCCGUCUGUCCCAUGUUGAUUUAUUAACGUAUUGAUGUACAAUCAGAAUCUGAAUGUUUGCUGUAAAACCUCCAAACAACAACAAACCAAAUGUGUUAAUCAUGCGCACACAGAGGUCGACUGUUGACUAAGGUGGAUUAUGAAUAGGGAGAGGAUAAUAAUAUUUGCAUUUAGUGGGCUGCAAUUAUGAAUUAAAUUAGUUUGUGCUUUAUAGAUUUAGUGCCAGGUCAAACCAGAAACUGGCAAAUUCAUUUGCAUGUUUUCAUGCAUCAGUCUGAUUUGGUGACGUAACGUCUUGGGGAGCUACUGUAGCUUGUGAGCUAACCGCUAACAUGCAAUUUAGCCAAGAACAUGCCCGAGCCAGCUAUACUAGCCCACAUAGAUAGCUAAAUUGCUAACAGGCAGUACCUAUCCUGUCUAGCCAUAAUAGCUCACUGCCAAGCUAGCUGGCUUGCUACUAGCUAAUGUUGCCUUCACAAACGUUCACAUACAGACUGAAAAAGGCCCGGUCAUAACAAAAAGUGGCAUAGAGAAAUUAAUCUGCACAUUUUAACGAAAAAGGCGGUGCCUGAAGCUUGGUGACGUAGUAUCUGUUAACAAACUAGCAAGCCGGAACAUUCUAGCUCUAGUCAAACACGAUAGCUCCUUUCUACUUUACUGGGCUAUUUACUCUUUUAGUUUAAUUUAGAGUAAAUGAAGAGAGGGGAAAAAGGUUUUGUCAGUUAGCAAGCUCGUUAGCUUGGUCGCUAACAGGACAAUACAUUCAUAGCGUUUAUUUGAAGAUGUACUUGUACCAUCUGUAAACUAUGUCUCUGUUGUGUUGCAGUUUAUACUCUGACAGAUGGGGUUGAGUAAAUGGCUAACAAGCUAUGCUAAGUCAGCACCUAAUGGCUUGCUAUUGGUCAACGGCAUGUAUUUGCAUGUCAACAUUCACCAAAGAUGAAUUGGAUUCAUCACUGAAACUCCACUGGAAUGAAUUGCUGCAAAAUUUCAGUUUUAAAUGCGACCGGGCCUUAUUUACCAAACGCUAGGUGGGGAAAAAAACGUUCAUGUCAGCCAGUUCUAGUUAAUGCUGAGUCAGAGAUUUCAGGAAUUACUGUACGCCACUAUGAUAUCUCCCACUUAGUGAAAAGAAGAAGUAUCCAGAAAACGGAAGGCAGAAACGUUAAAUUUUCUUGUUCACAAUCUGCCGACAUGCUUUCUACUAUUUAGCAGUUAGCAUGCUACCUAGACAAUAACACAGUCAAUGCAGCAUCUCUUUGUGGAGAGCACUAACGUGGUAGCCUCCCCAAUUUUCCAGCUCUCCGUUUCCUCAAAGGUCGACGCUGUCAAGACUGUUUGAAUGUGAUUAGCAGUGUAGAUUUGCAUUGCAAAGUUUUAAGUCUUCUUACAAAUUCAAUUAACUAUCAUUGAAUCCACAGAUUGCAGAUGAAAUAUUGAAAUGAACUGAUUUUGUUAUUAAAUGUUGCUGAUGUAUGAAGCUCUGACCUUAAAGAAGUGAAGCAGUGAAAUAUGUAAAAACCUAGAGGUAGAGUUAAAGAUGUAACCAAAUCAUUAGAACGUCUCUAGUGUUGUCAGGUAUGUAGAAUUAAGGAUUAGCACAAGAAAUGAGGAUUAUCUUUAGUGAAUUGUCUGUCUUUUAAAUAUCAAAAUAAACUCAAAUGUCCAUUUUUAGCACAAUCCAAAGUGAAAUUAAAACAUUUCACUCAGUGAAACAUUAUUCCUCCCAAUCUGAACCUCUCCAACUAACACGUAGUAUAAACUGUAUAUUAUAUAUUUUUUUAACACUGUAGUUUAAUCUGACGCUGAAAACUAGUUUCAUCUAGUGAAUGAGUCGACCUCUAGCUGUAAUCUGAGCUGUAACUGAUCUUUACCUUCUGCUGUAGCUGUUUCAAUUAUCAGGAAUUAAAAACAUAUUCAACUCUUAA